GAUGAACGCUGACAGAAUGCUUAACACAUGCAAGUCAUUGGCGAAGCUGCGUUUGCGCAGUCUAGCCAAGGCGGACGGGUGAGUAACGCGUAAGGAACUUGCCCUGCAGACAGGGAUAACAGACGGAAACGACUGAUAACACCUGGUAUUGUCAGGCUGGCGCAUGCCGGCCUGAUGAAAGGAGACGCUGCAGGAGAGCCUUGCGUCCUAUUAGCUAGUUGGCGGGGUAACGGCCCACCAAGGCGAUGAUAGGUAGCCGGCCUGAGAGGGUGAACGGCCACAAGGGGACUGAGAUACGGCCCUUACUCCUACGGGAGGCAGCAGUGGGGAAUAUUGGACAAUGGGGGCAACCCUGAUCCAGCAAUUCUGUGUGCACGAAGAAGGUUUUCGGAUUGUAAAGUGCUUUCAGCAGGGAAGAAGAA
rnacentral:rRNA from 1 species